rnacentral:lncRNA from 1 species
CUCCCCACAGCUAGUCAGGGGUUGUGACCACAUCUAGAAGUGGCUUUCCAGACCUUAUUAAAGCUGCAGGAGCACAUGUGACUCUCAAAGCAGGAGUUCAGCAGCUCCAGAAGGCUUCUGUGCACAGCUGAUCAGUGAAUCGGAGUUUGGCAGCAAGUUAUGCUGGCAGUAUCACCAGGC